rnacentral:rRNA from 1 species
GACGAACGCUGGCGGCGCGCCUAACACAUGCAAGUCGAACGAGCGAGAGAGAGCUUGCUUUCUCGAGCGAGUGGCGAACGGGUGAGUAACGCGUGAGGAACCUGCCUCAAAGAGGGGGACAACAGUUGGAAACGACUGCUAAUACCGCAUAAGCCCACGACCCGGCAUCGGGUAGAGGGAAAAGGGGCAAUCCGCUUUGAGAUGGCCUCGCGUCCGAUUAGCUAGUUGGUGAGGUAACGGCCCACCAAGGCGACGAUCGGUAGCCGGACUGAGAGGUUGAACGGCCACAUUGGGACUGAGACACGGCCCAGACUCCUACGGGAGGCAGCAGUGGGGAAUAUUGCACAAUGGGGGAAACCCUGAUGCAGCGACGCCGCGUGGAGGAAGAAGGUCUUCGGAUUGUAAACUCCUGUUGUUGAGGAAGAUAAUGACGGUACUCAACAAGGAAGUGACGGCUAACUACGUG